AGAUACUUAUGAUUGGGUGGCGCAGUAUUCUAGUCAGCCGUCCGUGCCUGAAGGCGGGGCUAAAAAUCCGUCAAAGGGCACAUCGAUGAAGUUCCUGGUGUUGGCUUGGGGCGCCCAGCCCUGGGCUUAUGCUGGGAGUUAAGAAAGUUGGGUAGUCCGCAAUGGCAUGUGGAACCUAACCCAGCUUUCGCGGAGGCCCAAGUGCGUAGCUCGCAGUCCACAAUUUUGUGGAAGGGUUAUGGCUUGGGGUAUGAACCUGCAUGUGGAGGCAAUCUGUGUGCAGUGUAGCCUGCCUUGAGUGGUGCUGAAGGAUCCUAGGUAUUCAGGCAAGUUGCCGCGGCCACGGCAACUUCGCCGGUGCUGGGUGAAAUCCGUACUGCAAAAGAGGCUAGGGUGCGGUAACGGCUGCCGCGGAAAACGCCUAGACUGUUCACUACAACGUGAGACAUCUUGAGGAUUAUAGUGUGGACUAAGUGGUAAUCUAGUCCGGCAGUCGGCGACGCUGUCGAGUUGUGCUUAAAGGGAAACCGCCGAAACGGCGACGUUUGGGUGCGCGACUGGGAAAACCUACUGGACCUAAGCCACAGCGUUUACUCAAGAUGUUGCCACCCACUCUCACUACUAC
rnacentral:sRNA from 1 species